UACGUAGGGGGCUAGCGUUGUCCGGAUUUAUUGGGCGUAAAGAGCGUGUAGGCGGCCAGGUAGGUCUGCUGUGAAAACUCGAGGCUCAACCUCGAGACGUCGGCGGAAACCAUCUGGCUAGAGUCCGGAAGAGGAGAGUGGGAAUUCCUGGUGUAGCGGUGAAAUGCGCAGAUAUCAGGAAGAACACCCGUGGCGAAGGCGGCUCUCUGGGACGGUACUGACGCUGAGGCGCGAAAGCCAGGGGAGCAAACGGGG
rnacentral:rRNA from 1 species